UACGUAGGUGGCGAGCGUUGUCCGGAUUUACUGGGCGUAAGGGGAGCGUAGGCGGGCUUUUAAGUGAGAUGUGAAAUACUCGGGCUCAACUUGAGUGCUGCAUUUCAAACUGGAAGUCUAGAGUGCAGGAGAGGAGAAUGGAAUUCCUAGUGUAGCGGUGAAAUGCGUAGAGAUUAGGAAGAACACCAGUGGCGAAGGCGAUUCUCUGGACUGUAACUGACGCUGAGGCUCGAAAGCGUGGGGAGCAAACAGG
rnacentral:rRNA from 1 species